AGAGUUUGAUCCUGGCUCAGGAUGAACGCUAGCGGCAGGCCUAACACAUGCAAGUCGAGGGGUAACAGGGAUUGCUUGCAAUCCGCUGACGACCGGCGCACGGGUGCGUAACGCGUAUACAAUCUGCCUUACACUGGGGGAUAGCCUUUAGAAAUGAAGAUUAAUACCCCAUAGAAUGUUAGUAUGUGGCAUCACAGACACAUUAAAGGUUACGGUGUAAGAUGAGUAUGCGUCCUAUUAGUUUGUUGGUGAGGUAACGGCUCACCAAGACGACGAUAGGUAGGGGCCCUGAGAGGGGGAUCCCCCACACUGGUACUGAGACACGGACCAGACUCCUACGGGAGGCAGCAGUGAGGAAUAUUGGACAAUGGAGGCAACUCUGAUCCAGCCAUGCCGCGUGCAGGAUGAAUGCCCUAUGGGUUGUAAACUGCUUUUAUACAGGAAGAAACAUUUCCACGCGUGGAAACUUGACGGUACUGUAAGAAUAAGGAUCGGCUAACUCCGUGCCAGCAGCCGCGGUAAUACGGAGGAUCCAAGCGUUAUCCGGAGUUAUUCGGUUUAAAGGGUCCGUAGGUGGAUAAUUAAGUCAGAGGUGAAAUCCUGCAGCUCAACUGUAGAAUUGCCUUUGAUACUGGUUAUCUUGAGUUAUUAUGAAGUAGUUAGAAUAUGUAGUGUAGCGGUGAAAUACAUAGAUAUUACAUAGAAUACCGAUUGCGAAGGCAGAUUACUAAUAAUAUACUGACACUGAGGGACGAAAGCGUGGGGAGCGAACAGGAUUAGAUACCCUGGUAGUCCACGCCGUAAACGAUCGUCACUAGCUGUUCGGAACUUGACUUGUUUCUGAGUGGCUAAGCGAAAGUGAUAAGUGACCCGCCUGGGGAGUACGUUCGCAAGAAUGAAACUCAAAGGAAUUGACGGGGGCCCGCACAAGCGGUGGAGCAUGUGGUUUAAUUCGAUGAUACGCGAGGAACCUUACCAGGGCUUAAAUGUAAGUUGCAUGAUUUAGAGAUAGAUCUUUCUUCGGACUACUUACAAGGUGCUGCAUGGUUGUCGUCAGCUCGUGCCGUGAGGUGUCAGGUUAAGUCCUAUAACGAGCGCAACCCCUACCGUUAGUUGCCAGCAUGUUAUGAUGGGGACUCUAGCGGGACUGCCGGUGCAAACCGAGAGGAAGGUGGGGAUGACGUCAAAUCAUCAUGGCCCUUACAUCCCGGGCUACACACGUGCUACAAUGGUAACGACAGAGGGCAGCCACCCCGCGAGGGGGAGCGAAUCCUUAAAACUAUCCCCAGUUCAGAUUGAAGUCUGAAAUUCGACUUCAUGAAGCAGGAAUCGCUAGUAAUCGUAGGUCAGCACACUACGGUGAAUACGUUCCCGGGUCUUGUACACACCGCCCGUCAAGUCAUGGAAGUCUGCAGUACCCGAAGAUGGUAUCCUAACCGCAAGGAGGGAGCUGUUUAAGGUAAGGCAGGUAACUGGGACUAAGUCAUAACAAGGUAACCGUA
rnacentral:rRNA from 1 species